UACGGAGGAUGCGAGCGUUAUCCGGAUUUAUUGGGUUUAAAGGGUGCGCAGGCGGCACGUUAAGUCAGCGGUGAAAUGUCGGGGCUCAACCCCGUCACUGCCGUUGAAACUGGCGAGCUCGAGUACGGAUGAAGUGGGCGGAAUGUGAUGUGUAGCGGUGAAAUGCUUAGAUAUGUCACAGAACACCGAUUGCGAAGGCAGCUCACUAAUCCGCAACUGACGCUCAUGCACGAAAGCGUGGGGAUCGAAC
rnacentral:rRNA from 1 species